GAUGAACGCUAGCGAUAGGCUUAACACAUGCAAGUCGAGGGGCAGCACAAGGUAGCUUGCUAUCUGGGUGGCGACCGGCGCACGGGUGCGUAACGCGUAUGCAACUUGCCCUAUACAGGAGGAUAACCCGUCGAAAGACGGACUAAUACUGCGUAUGCUCACAACUUGGCAUCAAGUGGUGAGGAAAGAAAUUCGGUAUAGGAUAGGCAUGCGUCCCAUUAGCUUGUUGGUGAGGUAACGGCUCACCAAGGCAGCGAUGGGUAGGGGAACUGAGAGGUUUAUCCCCCACACUGGUACUGAGACACGAACCAGACUCCUACGGGAGGCAGCAGGGAGGAAUAUUGGUCAAUGGGCGCGAGCCUGAACCAGCCAAGUCGCGUGAAGGAUGACUGUCUUAUGGAUUGUAAACUUCUUUUAUACGGGAAUAACAAGAGUCACGUGUGACUCCCUGCAUGUACCGUAUGAAUAAGCAUCGGCUAACUCCGUG
rnacentral:rRNA from 1 species